AACGGGUGAGUAACGCGUGAGGAACCUGCCUCAAAGAGGGGGACAACAGUUGGAAACGACUGCUAAUACCGCAUAAGCCCACGGGUCGGCAUCGACCAGAGGGAAAAGGAGCAAUCCGCUUUGAGAUGGCCUCGCGUCCGAUUAGCUAGUUGGUGAGGUAACGGCCCACCAAGGCGACGAUCGGUAGCCGGACUGAGAGGUUGAACGGCCACAUUGGGACUGAGACACGGCCCAGACUCCUACGGGAGGCAGCAGUGGGGAAUAUUGCACAAUGGGGGAAACCCUGAUGCAGCGACGCCGCGUGGAGGAAGAAGGUCUUCGGAUUGUAAACUCCUGUUGUUGAGGAAGAUAAUGACGGUACUCAACAAGGAAGUGACGGCUAACUACGUGCCAGCAGCCGCGGUAAAACGUAGGUCACAAGCGUUGUCCGGAAUUACUGGGUGUAAAGGGAGCGCAGGCGGGAAGACAAGUUGGAAGUGAAAUCCAUGGGCUCAACCCAUGAACUGCUUUCAAAACUGUUUUUCUUGAGUAGUGCAGAGGUAGGCGGAAUUCCCGGUGUAGCGGUGGAAUGCGUAGAUAUCGGGAGGAACACCAGUGGCGAAGGCGGCCUACUGGGCACCAACUGACGCUGAGGCUCGAAAGUGUGGGUAGCAAACAGGAUUAGAUACCCUGGUAGUCCACACCGUAAACGAUGAUUACUAGGUGUUGGAGGAUUGACCCCUUCAGUGCCGCAGUUAACACAAUAAGUAAUCCACCUGGGGAGUACGACCGCAAGGUUGAAACUCAAAGGAAUUGACGGGGG
rnacentral:rRNA from 1 species